GGAUCCCAGCUGCAUCUGUGACCUACACCAGAGCUCAGCGGCAAAGCAGGACCCUUAACCCAAUGAGCUGGACCAGGGAUUGAACCUGCAUCACCUGAUUCUCUUUCUUGACUGGUGGAGGCGCACAUCUUGAUCACCCCCCUCUCUGAGGCACUCCUUCUAUCACCCUCCCCAUUCCAUCUUUGCGACUAGGCUAAAGAGAAAGUCUUUCUAGUUCAUUAGUUCUCAAACUUUAGAUGAGACUGAAUCACUUGGACGGCUUGUUGAAAGAGUCUUUUGGGUCCUAAACCCAAAGUUUCUGAUUCAGUAAGUCUAGGAUGAGGCCUAAGAAUUCAGGUAAUGCUCAAACUGCUCAUCUGGGGACCACGUUUUGAAAACGAUUCAGAACUACUCCUUUCAAUCUCUGCUUCCCAGGACAGAUUUAAUGGUGGUUACAUGGUAAAGGUUUCAUGUUAAUAGUUACAAGGAAACAUUAAAGAGAUUACAUAACAUUACCAGGUCUUGUUCUUAGACGCUACAUAGUAAAGGAAAGGCCACCCACAUCCUCCCCAGGGCAAGGCUAGUCCAUACUUUACACAUGUAAUCCAGGCAGAACUAUAGUUUUCCCUUCUGUAUAAGGGGAGGUUCAAGGACUGAAUGAAAUUAAGCCUCUUAAGUGACACCUCUAUAAAUGAUGAUUAGCUUAAUUUCACCCGUAGAACAUCCGUAGUCGGCCAACCAUUCAGAUCAGAUGAUCACAUCCUUCCCGCCCUUUAAGGGGCGGGGUGAAAAGAGAGAGGUAACGACGCCUGCGCAGUGCAUAAGGUGGUUCCAGGUGUGGUCCUUGCGGCACCCCUGCAGCCAGGUGAAGCUCUGCGGAGCAGAGGGCGGAGACAGAGCAGCAGGUGGGCGUUUGCUUCCGGCCACGUGGCCAUGUUCACUGCCAAUGGGAAAUCUUGACGUCACCCCAGCUUCCUCACCCUGGCAACGGGCGGGUGACUACUUCCGGUGCUGUGAGGGCUCGGGGCUGACGCGGGGCAGUUCCUCUCCUGCAAUUGCUUUUGGAUGGAAGUAUGCUCUUUUCCCAAUAGAAGAUGGUAAUCUUGGAGAAUGACCAUGGAGAAGGGGAUGAGUUCUGGAGAAGGGCUGCCUUCCAGAUCAUCUCAGGUUUCGGCUGUUAAAAUAACAGCCAAAGAGUUGGAAACAAAACAGGCCCAUAAAGAGAAGCGAGGGGGCUUUGUGUUGGUGCAUGCAGGUGCAGGUUAUCAUUCUGAAUCCAAAGCCAAGGAAUAUAAACAUGUAUGCAAACGAGCUUGUCAAAAGGCAAUUGAAAAGCUACAGGCUGGCGCUCUUGCGACAGAUGCAGUGACAGCAGCUCUGGUGGAGCUUGAGGAUUCUCCUUUUACGAAUGCAGGAAUGGGAUCUAAUCUAAAUCUCUUGGGUGAAAUUGAGUGUGAUGCCAGCAUAAUGGAUGGAAAAUCCUUGAAUUUUGGAGCUGUUGGAGCACUGAGUGGAAUCAAGAACCCAGUCUCAGUUGCAAACAGACUCUUGUGUGAAGGGCAGAAGGGCAAGCUCUCGGCUGGCCGAAUUCCUCCCUGCUUUUUAGUUGGAGAAGGAGCCUACAGAUGGGCAGUAGAUCAUGGAAUACCCUCUUGCCCUCCUAACAUCAUGACCACAAGAUUCAGUUUAGCUGCAUUUAAAAGAAACAAGAGGAAACUAGAGCUGGCAGAAAGGGUGGAAACAGAUUUCAUUCAACUAAAGAAAAGAAGACAAUCAAGUGAAAAGGAGAACGACACAGGCACUUUGGAUACGGUGGGCGCUGUGGUUGUGGACCACGAAGGGAACGUGGCUGCUGCUGUCUCCAGUGGAGGCUUGGCCUUGAAACAUCCAGGGAGAGUUGGGCAGGCUGCUCUUUAUGGAUGUGGCUGCUGGGCUGAAAAUACUGGAGCUCAUAAUCCCUACUCCACAGCUGUGAGUACCUCAGAGUUUCUCUAUGGUGUACUGAAGGAUGGACCUGUUUUUCUUCAUCUUCUUUGGGCCUCUGAUGUGGGGAGCAUCUUGUGCGCACCAUACUGGCUAGAGAAUGUUCACAUGCUUUACAAGCCGAAGAUGCUCACCAAGCUCUGUUGGAGACUAUGCAAAACAAGUUCAUCAGUUCACCUUUCCUGGCCAGCGAAGAUGGUGUGCUUGGGGGAGUGAUUGUUCUCCGAUCCUGCAGGUGUUCUGCCGAGCCUAACUCCCCGCAAAAUAAGCAGACACUUCUAGUGGAAUUCCUGUGGAGCCACACGACGGAGAGCAUGUGUGUUGGAUAUAUGUCCGCCCAGGAUGGGAAGGCCAAGGUAAGUGGAAAAACGGGGGCAUAACCUUGAAAACCUUGCAGCCACUGCCUGAAUCUCUUUAACUGGCCAAGUGGACACGAUGGAAUUUUUUUCAGCCUCUCUUGAGCAGUAGCGCUGUGAUCUUUAUGAGAAUCUGAUAAAGAAUCCCAAAGAAAAAUAGCAGAUCCUUUUUUGCUUUUGAUGAUGGAGCAGGGGAGAUUAGGAAAGAUUAGGAAAAACCUUUUUUUUCUUCUUCUUCUUCCAUCUUGUCCUUCUUGGUGCAUUGUGAAUAAAUGGGAAAGAAGAAACUGGGGGCUGGGAAGAGAGUGGGCGUGGCGCUGCCAGCCCGCUAGGGCUGGGUGACUUUGCAGGGACUGUUGGAAGAGCGGAAGGAAACCGAGGCACAGUUAGCUGAGUACCCGAGUCACGUGCUGCGUGUGUGAGAGCAGAAGUGCCUGGCGUGCUUGCAAGGACUGCGUGUUCUGGCACCGCGUCCUCCUGCCAGAGUCAGAGGUCUAUGCCCCACGCCUUAGCGCCCUCUCUCGGCGAGUCAUAGCAGUCUCAUAGAACAUUCACACCCCUCCCCUUGAGCUGCUUGGUUUCCCUGUACUCAGGAGGGGUGAGCCUGGGAGUGAAAAACAUAAGUCGUGGGUUUAUUUUAUACUGGCCUCAUGUUCUUCUUGUCCAUAAAAUUUUUAGAAACAGCUGCGGCAUGUGAUGUUGACUUGGCAUUAAAGUUCCUCAAUUACAAAGCUGUGAAGUUGGGCAGCCUCUCUCUCUUUUAUUUUACUUUUUUAAAGGACAUGAUUUUAUUUGACAGACUUGGAAAUGCAAAUAAGGAAACUUCUGAUAUAAAUUGAUAGAGUUGGAAUCAUUAGCAAAUGAAGGGCUACGUGCAAGAAAGAACUGCUUCUUGCUUAUUUGCCACAUAGCAUCCAUCUAGGCAGGCCUCUGAAUAUUAUCCAGGGAGUCAGUAGCAUCACAGGGCUUUGUGAGUACAGUGUCCAAGAGCUACACUGGUGAAAAUAUUCCUGAGGUCGACCCCACCUUUGUGUCACCCUCCCUGUAUCAGUAGAUUUAUUUCAUAAGAGAAUGCAUGAAGAUUGCUUUGUUUUAGAGUAGAGAGGAGAAUUAUAAUUGCUCAUUUUAAAAGGCGAUUUAUGGAUUUAGAGCAACACUAUUGAAAAGAAUUUUCUGGGUUGAUAGAAAUGUUUCAUAUUUAUAUUUACAUUGUGUUGUCCUAUUGGGUAACUGCUGAGCACUUGAAAUAUGGCUGGUAUGGCUAAAGAACAGAAUUUUAAAUUUUACUUAGUUUAAAUACCCACAUGUAGCUAGUGGCCACCAUACUGAACAGCACAAACAGCACAGGUUUGAAGAAUGAGUGGGAAAGUGGUUAUUUACAUAAAUAUUUUCAAAACAUUCUUUUCUUCCCAAUGGCCUAGUGGUUCUCAUAUAGGAAAUAAGCCUGAAAAGCCACAAGAAUCCUUGCCCAAGAAUGGCUUGCAACCAUUUAAGUUUCACUCACCCCUUACAUGUUGAAUCGGAACUAAAAUUGCUUUUUAGCCAAUAAACAUGGAGGUGGUGGACUUUAGUACUGAAGCCAGUCUGAAGUCUAUCUGAUGGGUUCAGUCAUGUUAUUAAGUCCCUUGCAUGGACAUGUUCUUGUUAUCCCUGAUGGUGGCCCGUGGAAGACAUCUUGCUAUUUAACAUGAAAUAUGGGAGUAAAGAGAGUAGAGAUUCCUGCAUUGAGCCCAAAGAUAUUUGGCUUCCAGUUGCAUCGCUUGACAUCUGGUGGACGUAGUUUUCAUAUUGCUGGUAAAUUCUCCAGCUGGUGGUAGUGAUGGGCCAACAGAUACAGCUGCUCCUCUUGCCUCACUUGUAAAUUAUGUUUUUGACCUUCCUUAGAGAGAGUUAAUCCCUCUCCCUUUCUUCCUUCUUUGAGCCUGUGGCUAUAAAUGCCUUCCCUCCAAAACCAAGAAACCAACCAAACACAAAAAUCCCGCAACACUAAAGCCUUGGUUGCUGAAUUCUGUUGAUCAGAAAAAAAAAAAAAGAAAAGAAAAGAAAAAAAAAAUCACUUUCGUCGUAAAGCCUGGGACUUUAUU